GANGAACGCUAGCGGCAGGCCUAAUACAUGCAAGUCGGACGGGAUCCAUCGGAAGCUUGCUCGAGAUGGUGAGAGUGGCGCACGGGUGCGUAACGCGUGAGCAACCUACCUCUAUCAGGGGGAUAGCCUCUCGAAAGAGAGAUUAACACCGCAUAACAUCAACAGUUCGCAUGUUCGGUUGAUUAAAUAUUUAUAGGAUAGAGAUGGGCUCGCGUGACAUUAGCUAGUUGGUAGGGUAACGGCCUACCAAGGCGACGAUGUCUAGGGGCUCUGAGAGGAGAAUCCCCCACACUGGUACUGAGACACGGACCAGACUCCUACGGGAGGCAGCAG
rnacentral:rRNA from 1 species